GCAGUAAGGAAUAUUGGUCAAUGGGCGGAAGCCUGAACCAGCCAUGCCGCGUGCAGGAAGACGGCCCUAUGGGUUGUAAACUGCUUUUGCAGGGGAAUAAACCUCAUUACGUGUAAUGAGCUGAAUGUACUCUGAGAAUAAGGAUCGGCUAACUCCGUGCCAGCAGCCGCGGUAAUACGGAGGAUCCAAGCGUUAUCCGGAUUUAUUGGGUUUAAAGGGUGCGUAGGUGGCUUUUUAAGUCAGGGGUGAAAGACGGUAGCUUAACUAUCGCAGUGCCUUUGAUACUGAAGAGCUUGAAUAAACUAGAGGUAGGCGGAAUGUGACAAGUAGCGGUGAAAUGCAUAGAUAUGUCACAGAACACCAAUUGCGAAGGCAGCUUACUAUGGUUUUAUUGACACUGAGGCACGAAAGCGUGGGGAUCAAACAGGAUUAGA
rnacentral:rRNA from 1 species